UACGGGGGGGGCAAGCGUUGUUCGGAAUUACUGGGCGUAAAGGGCGCGUAGGCGGUCCGCUAAGUCGAAUGUGAAAACUCUGGGCUUAACCCAGAGCCUGCAUUCAAUACUGGCGGGCUAGAGUUCUGGAGGGGAUAGCGGAAUUCCUGGUGUAGCGGUGAAAUGCGUAGAUAUCAGGAGGAACACCGGUGGCGAAGGCGGCUAUCUGGACAGAGUCUGACGCUGAGGCGCGAAAGCUAGGGGAGCAAACAGG
rnacentral:rRNA from 1 species